rnacentral:rRNA from 1 species
AGAACGAACGCUGGCGGCAGGCUUAACACAUGCAAGUCGAACGCGUGUAGCAAUACACAAGUGGCGCACGGGUGAGUAACGCGUGGAUAUCUGCCUUUUGGUUCGGAAUAACCCCGGGAAACUGGGGCUAAUACCGGAUGGUUCCUACGGGAUAAAGAUUUAUCGCCAAAAGAUGAGUCCGCGUACGAUUAGCUAGUUGGUGAGGUAAUGGCUCACCAAGGCGACGAUCGUUAGCUGGUCUGAGAGGACGAUCAGCCACACUGGGACUGAGACACGGCCCAGACUCCUACGGGAGGCAGCAGUGGGGAAUAUUGGACAAUGGGGGCAACCCUGAUCCAGCCAUGCCGCGUGAGUGAUGAAGGCCUUCGGGUUGUAAAGCUCUUUUGGCGGGGACGAUGAUGACGGUACCCGCAGAAUAAGCCCCGGCUAACUUCGUGCCAGCAGCCGC